UACGCCGCAGCUCGGGAGGUGCUAGCUUUUCCCCACCUCCCCCUGGACGUUCACCUCCUUAUCAUGUGUAUAUUCAGUUCAACAUCUGGUGGUUCUUUAGGUCACCUUAGUGUGCAUUUUCUGUUCAUCUUGCAGGUGAAGGAGCUCCCAUUGGGUUCAUCUUGCAGGUUUCGUUCAAACUUGGCCACCUAGGCCGUUCAACAACACCACCAGAGCCUGUUCAGUUGCUGGCGUUCCUGCAGCUGCAGAUGUGGUGCUGACAGUACUAGGCGUUGGUUGUAUUUGAUCAAAUGCCUAGGAGCUCCCAUGAUUUAGCAAGCACUGUUGCUCAAUUUUCUAGGUUUAGUUCAGUCCAAUUUUUAGAUAGCAUAGUGCAUGCUCAAAAAUAUCAUCGGUUCAUGUUUCAAAUUUAGAUAUAUCACCUAAAAUAAGUUUCAAAAGAAAAAUUAUGUAAGUUCAAUCUGUGUGCUGCUUCAAUUUUGCAAUUCUUGUCGAGUCGUACUAGUACUGAUGAAUAACGAGUUACUGAUAUAACUAUUACCGAUUGAAAAAUGUAGGGGUUGAAGUAAACCCUCUCAAUAUAACUAUUACUGAUAUAUGUGCUCUGCCUGCACAUUUUUUCUUACGUUCUAAAAUUCGUAGAGCUUCAGUCCAACUAUGUUGCUUCUGAGACUUGAAGCGCACUUCCAACUUCAAGCGGACUCCGCAGUCGUCAGUGACGAUGAGACGGUUGCUUGCGUUUGUAGGAGUACUAUGUAGUUGCAGAUUAGCUAUUACUCAGCCAUCAUGGUUUGUAGGAGUACUACCUAGUUGCAGAUUGUAUUAGGUGUUUCUCUUACUAUUUUGCUGCUGAUUCUUGGACACAGUAUACUUUCUCGUAUGUUUCAUCAAAUAGAGCACGUCAAAUCUAAGUCAAUACUCAAUAAUAUCAAUUUUGUGAUGCAUCUUCUUUCCAUUGAGGAACUGUACUCCAAUUUCCAGGUGCAGCGUGACAUGAGCUUUCUGACCCCAUUUCCAGGUGCAGCGCCAGGGAUCUGACUGUGGGGUGCGUGAAGGCACUAGCGACUCUGCUUCCAUUUCUCUUCAGAAGUUCUGCUAACCAAUUAGUCACUGAUAAGAUGACUUUGCUUCCAACUAGCCACUGAAAGUUGUGGCCAUUUAAUGUCACCUUCUACAUUUGAGAUAGGUCAAACUGUAAUCUUCCAAUGUUAUCGUUUGGUAGCUUAAGAUGCUUUAUGUUUUGUUGAUCUACAGAGUGGCUAUCUGAGAGUUAUGUUGAACUUUCUUAUUACAGUUUGAAACUUCUUUAAAAAUCCGAGUUGAUUCUAAAUGUGUUUUCGUCAUCAGUUCUAAAAAUCCCAGAGCAUCCGUCCAACUUUGUAUCAGGAAAUACUAUGUUGCUUCUUUGAUUUCUGUAUGGUUUUGUAUUGAGUGCUCUCCCCUGCCUAUUUUGGUUGAUGUCCACGAAUGGAUAAAAAUAUGUAUGGGAAAUGUUCUAUUAUUAC
rnacentral:lncRNA from 1 species